UUGCCUUCAGCAAAUCCUUUACAUUAUCACGCUUUCUUAUAGAACCACAAAUACUAGCAGAUAUGUGCGUCUUUAUGAAUAUCAUACUGAGGUGAUUGGAUUGCUCCCAUUGUUCAUAAAGAGCAACUUUAGCUGGAGUGCUAGUAUCUGUAGGAGCAUGUGGUUCCUCCUUCCUUAUGGCGUAGUCAAUGUCCAUGCACCCC
rnacentral:lncRNA from 1 species